GAUGAACGCUGGCGGCGUGCCUAAUACAUGCCAGUCGAGCGAACAGACGAGGAGCUUGCUCCUCUGACGUUAGCGGCGGACGGGUGAGUAACACGUGGAUAACCUACCUAUAAGACUGGGAUAACUUCGGGAAACCGGAGCUAAUACCGGAUAAUAUAUUGAACCGCAUGGUUCAAUAGUGAAAGACGGUUUUGCUGUCACUUAUAGAUGGAUCCGCGCCGCAUUAGCUAGUUGGUAAGGUAACGGCUUACCAAGGCGACGAUGCGUAGCCGACCUGAGAGGGUGAUCGGCCACACUGGAACUGAGACACGGUCCAGACUCCUACGGGAGGCAGCAGUAGGGAAUCUUCCGCAAUGGGCGAAAGCCUGACGGAGCAACGCCGCGUGAGUGAUGAAGGUCUUCGGAUCGUAAAACUCUGUUAUUAGGGAAGAACAAAUGUGUAAGUAACCAUGCACGUCUUGACGGUACCUAAUCAGAAAGCCACGGCUAACUACGUG
rnacentral:rRNA from 1 species